rnacentral:rRNA from 1 species
GAUGAACGCUAGCGGCGUGCUAACACAUGCAAGUCGAACGAUGAAGGAGAGCCUGCUCUCCGGAUUAGUGGCGAACGGGUGAGUAACACGUGACUAACCUGCCCCUUUCUCUGGGAUAACGCUCCGAAAGGAGUGCUAAUACCGGAUACGAACUCUGAACACAUGUUCGGAGUUGGAAAGUUUUUCGGAAAGGGAUGGAGUCGCGGCCUAUCAGCUUGUUGGUGAGGUAAUGGCUCACCAAGGCGACGACGGGUAGCCGGCCUGAGAGGGCUACCGGCCACACUGGGACUGAGACACGGCCCAGACUCCUACGGGAGGCAGCAGUGGGGAAUAUUGCACAAUGGGCGAAAGCCUGAUGCAGCGACGCCGCGUGAGGGAUGAAGGUCUUCGGAUUGUAAACCUCUUUCAGUAGGGACGAAGCGAAAGUGACGGUACCUAAAGAAGAAGCACCGGCUAACUACGUGCCAGCAGCCGCAGUAACAC